UUUUUUUUUUAAACUUUUCUCCAUAGUGUUGUCACAGUGUAAUUUCUAAAUGUUUAUUUCAAUUUUUUUAAUAGUGUUUGUUGUGUAUUUAUGUUCUUGUUGUGUGUUGUGAACUGAUCUGUUCUUGUGUGUUGUGACAAGAGGGACAAUAAGGGCAGCUACUUUAUUUUCAGAGUGAAGAGAACUUGAGAAACACAAGCAAUGAAGUUAGUAACAUAAAGUCAAGGUUGAUAGAUGUGGAGCAUGAAAAAAUCAUGCUAGUGAAACAGCUGACACAAUUUAGAUCAAAAUACAAAACUACAUAACCAGACAGAAAGACAAAGAAAUCCAGAGACUCAAAAGUGAACUGGAGCGCCAAUAUGAAAAAGAGUGAGUUUUCACAGCAUGACAGUUUUUUCUUAGAAGACUUUUCACAGUGUCAACUUUGUAUUGUGGCUUUCUUCAAUUGUCAUUAAGAUCAGUGAAUUCUGUUAAUUCUAGAUUUGAAAUUUUGUAACUUAAUACUGUGAUUAAAUACUGAAUUGUA